GACUGCCCGAAUGUGCCGCUGCCAGUGUCCGGCAAGAAUAUCCGCGCCGUGGACUAUGAUCCGAUCUCGCAUUACAUUUACUGGAUCGAAGGCAGGAGUCACAGCAUCAAGCGUUCUCUGGCAAAUGGCACAAAGCUUCCUGGGUGAAUCC